rnacentral:rRNA from 1 species
GACGAACGCUGGCGGCGUGCUUAACACAUGCGAGUCGAGCGGAAAGGCCCUUCGGGGUACUCGAGCGGCGAACGGGUGAGUAACACGUGAGUAACCUGCCCCAGACUUUGGGAUAACCCUCGGAAACGGGGGCUAAUACCGGAUACGACACAGCUUCGCAUGGGGUCUGUGUGGAAAGUUUUUCGGUUUGGGAUGGGCUCGCGGCCUAUCAGCUUGUUGGUGGGGUGAUGGCCUACCAAGGCGACGACGGGUAGCCGGCCUGAGAGGGCGACCGGCCACACUGGGACUGAGACACGGCCCAGACUCCUACGGGAGGCAGCAGUGGGGAAUAUUGCACAAUGGGCGGAAGCCUGAUGCAGCGACGCCGCGUGAGGGAUGACGGCCUUCGGGUUGUAAACCUCUUUCAGCAGGGACGAAGCGUAAGUGACGGUACCUGCAGAAGAAGCGCCGGCCAACUACGUG